AAAUUCCAAAUUUUUUUCUCACGGUGUAAUAAAAUAUUUCUCGCCCUGAGCCGGCGAACAACGAAAAGAGGGUUCACGAAAGAAGCCGGAGAGAGAGGGAGAGGAACAGCUGAAACCAGAAGAAAAAAAAGCUUAACUGCGAGGAAAGAACGAAGGAGGAUCGAAGCCUAAUUUCAUUUAUCGCCGAUCUUCUCUGAAAUUGAACUGGCAAUCUCUCAGUUGGUAUCACUAGAUCUGCAGUCGCGUUUCGGGUUGGAUUUGGGUGUCGUAAUUUUUGCCAAUCGCUUUGCGUUGCAGAUAAUGUGGGUAAAGAAAGGGUGCCGUCGUGCGCGGAUCUAGACCUGCAGAUUCAGCAUCUGAUGGAAUUUAAGCCUUUGCCUGAGGCGGAGAAGAAGGCUUUAUGGGAGCAGGCGCACCCGUUUUUCUUUGUUGACCCUUUCAUACGAGCAUCUGAGGUUCAACCUAGCCGCCGCUGCUGAGUUUCCGGUUAUUUUUGCUUGUGGUGGUGGUUACGUCCAGAGCGAUUCCGGUCGUCCGUUGAUUUCAGCCACCACCCCCACAUCCCCCCUAGGAGAAUCUUCGAUCUUGACUUCAAAUAUCCCCCAUCCCCGAAGUUGCUUGAUACUGGUUUUUGGAAGCGUCGGCAGUUGAGAUUGUGUUGCUAACCCUAUCUAAAACACACCAAUUUUAGGGUUACGACUGUGGCAUUAAAGAACUGACUUUUAGCUUGAGUGUGAGUUGGAUUUUGAUGUUUGAACAAUCUAUGUACCUGAAAGGUUGUUUUUUCUUCUUCAGCUCGAAACCAGCAAGAUCUCCACUUGUGACCUGAAUCUUGGAGCUCUAUGACACCUUUGGAAGUUCGCUAAAUUAAUCCGUGUUCAGUUUAUCUUCUAUGCUAGGUUAUGUGGCCAUGCCUUCUUCCGGCUAUUCCGUAAAACAAUUUUUUGAGGUUCACCUUGUUUCAGGAUUGCUAUGACGGUUAAGCCUCAAUAUCGUUUUCUCUGCUAAACAAUGCAGACAUUCAAAUGCUUAGCAGUUAGGGUUUUUCUUUGCCCCACAGUCAACAAGAGGUUUAUCUUAUGCUCGUCCUUUGCUUGUUUCCAUUCAUUAUUUCCUGCAACAGCAACGUUCGAGAGAACUGGUGAUUUGCAUUCCAAGGAGGUUGCUUCGUCCUUCAAGGACUGGUUCAGAAGCAGGAACGAUGCCUUGCUCGAUCAAAUUUUCGAGAUCUUGUCUUCUCAAGCUGAUGACUUGAUCUCUCGAAGAUCUGCUGAAUCCACCCUCUCUCGCUUGGGACUUCGACUCUCGGAAGAUUUUGUUUUGAAGGUUUUGAAUCAUGGAAAGGACGUGUUAUCGUGUUUGAAGUUCUUCGACUGGGCUGGGCGCCAACCUGGUUACCAUCACACCCGAGCGACGUUCAAUGCAAUUUUUAAAAUUUUGUCGAGAGCCAAAUUGAUGUCAAUCAUGAUAGAUUUCCUCGAGACCUAUACGAGUCAGCGGUACAUGCACAAGGUCAGAUUCUACGAUACACUUGUGAUGGGAUACUCUGUCGCUGGAAAGCCUGAGAUUGCCCUUCAGUUGUUCGGUAGAAUGCGAUUUACAGGGGUCGAUUUGGAUUCUUUUUCCUACCACGUGCUUCUGAAUGCAUUGGUGGAGGAGAACUUGUUUGAUGUAGUUGAAAUUGUUGCGAAGCAAAUCAAAAUGAGAGGCUUCGAGAGUGAGAUAACUUCUGGUAUAAUGGUGAAGAGUUUUGUUAAACAGAAAAAGUUGGAAGAGGCAGUGGCAUUCAUCCGUGGGCUGGUCGGCAAUGGGGGUGCAGUGAAUGAAAAUGUGGUUUGCGUUGUUAUAGAUGCUCUUUGUAAACAGAAUAAGUUUGAGGAGGCUCGUCGAUUGAUGGAUGAGUUUCAGGGGAUUGGAAAGUUCUCAAUGGAGCACAUUUAUGGCGUAUGGAUUAGAGAUCUUGUUCAAGCUGGGAAAGUGGAUGGGGCUAUGGAAUUCGUACAGAGUAAGAAGUUAGCAGAAGGAUACAUGCCUGACCUGUUCCGUUAUAAUAUUUUGAUUUGCAGGCUUUUGAGGGAAAACAGACUUGAGGAGGUGUGUGAUUUGUUGAUGGAGAUGAAAGAAGGAGAGAUUUCACCUGAUAAGGUUACCAUGAAUGCAGCAUUGUGUUUUUUUUGUAAGGCUGGAAUGGUGGAUGUUGCUCUUGACUUGUAUAAUUCGAGGAAAGAAUUUGGUCUCUCUCCAAAUAGCAUGGCUUACAACUAUCUUAUUAAUACUCUCUGUGGGGAUGGCAGUGUUGAUGAGGCAUAUCGGGUAUUGAAGAAUUCUAUUGAGCAAGGUUACUUCCCUGGCAGAAAGACCUUCUCUAUUCUUGCAGAUGCUUUGUGCAGGGAGGGCAAGUUGGAUAAGAUGAAGGAGCUUCUUGUUGUGGCCUUGGAGCAGAAUGUUGUGCCAAAUGAUGCUUUAUAUGAUAAAUUCAUUUCAGCUCUGUGCAAGGCCAAGAGGGUAGAAGAUGGUUACGUGAUACAUGGGGAACUUCACAGAUUAGAUAAAGUUGCUACCAGAAAAACUUACCUCAAUUUGAUCAGUGGUUUUAACAAGUCAAGCAGGGGGGAUAUAGCUACGAGACUCUUGAUUGAAAUGCAAGAGAGUGGUCACACACCAAGUAGGACUUUAUACAGAUCUGUUAUUCGUUGCCUAUGUGAUGCCGAGAAUCCUGAAAACCAGUUUCUCAAACUGCUUGAGAUGCAGUUGUCUCAUCAUGAAGCCAACAGUCGGGAUUACAACUUCUUUAUUGAUGGGGCUGGCCACGCCAAAAAACCUGAUCUGGCAAGAAAAGCCUUUGAGAUGAUGGUAAGAAGUGGAAUGGAGCCCAAUUUGUGUUCUGAUAUUCUAAUGCUGCAGAGUUAUCUAAAGAGCGAGCGGAUUUCCGAUGCUCUGAAUUUCUUUGUUGAUUUAUGCAAGAGAAGAAAGGCUGGUAGAAAGCUCUACCAUACAAUGAUUGCUGGUCUUUGUAAAGCUAACAAGCCAGAUAUAGCAUUGGAACUCUUGAUGGAGAUGAAGGAAAAAGGAUUGGUUCCCAGUAUCCAAUGUUAUGAGGAGCUUGUUCAAUCAUUGUGCUCAAAUAAGAAUUAUGAUAUGGUGGUAAAGAUUAUUGAUGACUUGCAGAGAUCUGGUCGUCAUGUUUCUUCCUUUAUCGGGAACAUACUUUUGUUGCAUUCUUUGAGGAGUCGAGAACUUUAUGAGGCUUGGGUUCGGUCAGGUGGUGUGCUUGAAGAUGCAUCUUUGUCUGGAAGUUUGACACUAGGUGAGCUAGUUGGUGCAUUUUCUGGUCGCAUCAGAGUUGAUGGAAAUAUUGAGAACUUGGAAGAAGCAAUAGGACACUGCUUUCCCCUGGACCUCUACACAUACAAUAUGUUAUUGAGAAGAUUGAGCAUGAAUGAGACGAUGGACUACUCCUACGAGGUGUUUAAUAGGAUAUACGAGAAAGGAUAUGAACCCAACCGGUGGACUUAUGACAUUUUAGUACAUAGUUUAUUCAAACAUGGUAGGACCAACGAGGCUAAGAGGUGGUUAAAUGAAAUGCUCCAGAAGGGCUUUGACCCAACUGAUCGUACAAGACAACUUUUAUAAUACAGGUUCUUUCAGAAGCUUGAGGUUGUUGCUUGAAAGCUGCAAGUCUUUGGUGGCUUUAUAUGUCCAUUUUGGCUCCAUAAUAGCUUAUUUUGGUGGAGUCUAUAACUCAAAUGUUGUGCUAUCAGGUUUGAACCUGAGACAGGUUCAGUUGAUGAUCGUCGUUCGACUUUUGGAUAUUGCACACUCCUUGGUGGUAAUCUGGUUACCUGGAGGAGAAAGAAGCAAUAUGUGGUUUCUAGAUCCAGUGUUGAGGCAGAGUACCGGACAAUGGCUCAAGGUGCUACUCAGUGAUCUAGGGAUAACUAUUGCCGAGCCUAUGCAUAUUGAGUACCGGACAAUGGCUCAAGGUGUUUGUGAGGUUAUCUGGCUUAGGGUGUUACUCAGUGAUCUUGUGAUAACUAUUGCUGAGCCUAUGCAUAUUGAGAUUGGUUGCCAUCAGUAUAGCUAACAACCUAGUUCAGCCUGACCGAUAAAGCAUAUUGAGAUUGACAGUCAUUCCAUCAAGGAGAAGCUCGACCAAGGUUCAAUUUGUAUUCUUUUUGUCACCUCAGAGAAUCAGUUUGCCGAUGUGUUUACAAAGGGCUUACAUUGUAACAUUUUUCCUCCUAUUAUCUGCAAGUUGGGCAUGCGUGAAGUGUCAAGGUACAAUGUAUCUAGUAGAUUCCGUGUGUAGAUGUAGGAUAAGGAUUGUGACUCAUCCUUAUCUAACAUCCAUAUUUGUAACCCCUUCUUAUAUUAUAAAUAAAUUUGGCCUCUGUCAUAUUUGACAAACCAAAUCAUUCUCCCAUAAUUCAACUGAUGUUAAUUCAUUUCUAAUGAAGUUCUGAAAAAUUCUAAGCUUGGACUGCAAAUUAGGAGUACGGUUAUAAGUUUCAAGUGUUGUGCUUCAAAAUCUGUUCAUCCUAGUCCUUUGCUUAGUGCAAUUUGAGGUUCAUCUAUUAUUAUUAGUUGGGGAGUGGGGGAGUUGUGGUGAAACGUAGUCAUUUAGAGGAUAAUGUCAUAAUGAUACAUGGGCUAUGGAAAUAAAAAUCCCAGCUCUAAAUUUCAUGAUACAAAUUGGUUAUGUUUUCCUGGUUGUUCAUGACAGUCAUUGUUUGAUAAAUUUUUACAACGAAAUAAAGUUGAACAGAAUUUGAUCUAUCCUUCUUUCUACCUCAUUUUCCCCCCUCUGUCAUUAUGGCACGGGACUGAAGCAGUAGUUCCAUUACACUGUCAUCAUCAAUUGAAUCGCAAUUCACCAGCAAUUCACCAUUCUUACACCAAUACACCUGGGUUCUAUUCGUUUUACUCUCUCUUACCAGUAACUUAUAUAACUCUUGACAACUCAGAUACCUAGUUUUGAGAAAGUGAUUUCUUGGAUACUUAUCAGUUCGAUAGUAUUUCAUUAUGGUGGCAUUCAACUGUUUCUUCAUACAGUAUGUUGUUUUCACCAUGUGAGUGUGACCACUAGAUUCUUUAACCACAAAGAAUUCAGGUAAUAUGUAGGAUACCUAUCCAAAAUUUUUUGUCAUCUUCAUCUUCAUCUUCAUCAUCUUAUUUUGGUUGUCAUACUAUUAUAGUUUCAUCUUGUGAUUGCCAUUUUACAGUUGUCAACUUUGCUGGCAAUCACUAUGGAUUCACUUUGCCAUUUUAGUCAUAUGCUUAUCAGGUUUAUAUUUUUCUUUGUUGAAACAUGCUAAUCGUAUUCUAUCAUGUUCAAACCAAACAUUGUAUGCUUUAAUGUGGCAUUUUAUAAUCUUAUUGAAUCUGAUGAUGUUUGGAUAUACAAUUGCUUGUCUAACCUAGGGAAGGAUGAGUAGCAUUGGAACUUGUUAAGACCUUUCAGUGGCUGGGUUUUUCAGAUUGAAUACGCAGCCAAAGCCGUCGAUUACAACAGGAAGCAGAAGAGCUAUUUGAAACCAUUUCUCAGGCACUGCUUGCCUCCGUGGAUCGCAAUUGUUUGAGUGGAUGGGGUGGCGACAUCUUUGUUGUCACUGCAACAUAAGUUAUAGAGAGGACCCUGAAGGGAAGAAUGGACUGAUUGGUGGGAUCUAAAAUGGGCAAAAGUCAACCUUAUCAAGUUUGGCUUUGAUUUCAACCAGUCAAGUUGUGCUCUUUAUGUGUGACUGUUGGGAGGCCAUUCGAACCUUAAAAGAGAUUUUCCAUUGGAAGAUUGACAUUGUUAAGCAAAGUUGGGCAUCAGACAUUAAAUCUGUAGUUUCUUCUGUCAAAGAAAUUUUUCUAAAAUUCUUAUCAAAAGAAUUGUUUCUCUGUUUCA